UCUGUUUUCCAGAGCUGCCCUCUUCCCCAAACCCUCUAUCCUUAGCAAGGCUCUGCUAGGGCACAGUCCUCUUCCAUCCUGAGGUAGCAAAGAUCGACCCUAUACUUCCUGCUCACUGCUCUAGCCCUUGGAGCUGAAAUACUUCUUAGUUGCGGGUCUAUUUCGUUUUAGCAUCUAAGCAAGAUGGGAAUACUUCUGAAGGUAGGCCUGAUGGUGGUAGCAGUGCAGCCUAGUGGGCCCGUUGAGGUGGCUUUCGAAGAAGUUCCAUGGCCCUAGUGCCUUGUAAUACCAUGCUCUUAGAGCAUUUCUUUUGCCCAACUGUUAAACUUUAGAUUUGUUUCUGUUUAUGGUAUGGUGGCAUGCCUAAAUCCGUUUUCGCAGUAUUUUCUGGAUGACUGUAAUAGUUAUCUCCCCUACAUUGUAUGUUCAUCUGAAUGCUUCUCGUUAUUAUAACUGUGUGAUAUUUUAUUUAGUAGUUUAA